GUAACUCAAAUUUGUAUGGAGUUGGAACAGCGCCCCUAGCGGCAAUCGUAGGCAAACGUCCCAACUUCAUACAAAUUUGAUUUA
rnacentral:pre_miRNA from 1 species